rnacentral:lncRNA from 1 species
UUGUAUGCACCAAAUAACCUAGGUCUUGUUUAAUUCAUAAUAUAUUCUUCAAGUCUUUGUCCAAAUCUUCUACAUCACUUUUGUUAUCCAAGUCAAAUUCAUCUUCUUAUUGAGGAAUAUCUUUCUCCUCACCAAGGUCUUUUAUAUUUAUUCCUAUAUAUCUUUGUUUAAAUAUUUUUACUCGCUUCCUUGCAAUUGGUACUUUUUUACCUUAUUCCAUCUAACCCCCGCAAUGACUAAGUUGCAUUAUCAUGAACAGUUGUUACCACAUACAUUCCAUACUAUCAUUUAGAAAACUUCCUUAAAGUACUAUAUUGAUUGUCCAAGCUACUAUCAUAAACCAAAAUCCAAUCACCUUCUUCAAUUGUUUUAGGCCUCAAUCGAUGCUGGUUAUCAAAUUAUGCCUUAUUUUGUA